rnacentral:lncRNA from 10 species
UGGAACCUGGGAUUCAAGCCGCCAGGCAAAGUGCCCUAGCAGGGACUCUGGCUUAGUGAGAGUCUCUGUUUCCCCCUUUUCUUUCUUUCCACCCAAUAAAACCGGGUCUUACUCAUCAUUCAAAUUGUCUGCGAGCCUGAAUUUUUGUGGCCGUGGGACAAAGAACCCCGUCUUUAACGGAACUAAGGAAAAGCCCUGCAACAAUUUUGGCGCGCAACGUGGGGACUUGAGAAGCGGUUGAACUCUUUUGUGUCAACUAAAAGAACAUAUGAACAUAGCAGGGCUGUCAAGAUAAGGCCACAAGCUUGCCGAGUUGGGGACCUUUGAAAUACAACAAUUAAAACAAUUCAUGGAUCCCUAAG